UUUUAAUGUUUUUCUAUGAGAAUAAGCAAGUAAAAGGAGGCAACACUGCCUAGAUUGAGGCAACCUAGCAAAUGAUUUCCCACAGAACACAGAACUGCUGACUAUAGUGUGAUUUGUUCAUGGUCCGUGGACUGCAGGUGAUUGCAUCAUUGAUAAAAAUAGACCUUGGAAACCUACAUAUCUGAAUACAAUUGGUAUGUGCAAAUAAGGACCGUAUGCAGGAUAAGAAGGUGAAAGGAUACAGAAGAGCUUUCAGAAAGAGCGACUGAGUUCAGGGAAAGUUGAUGACUUGAGGAGGGGGAUGCUUUACUCAAGACCGGGUGUGUUCAUCUGCGAUAGAGUUACAGGCCAAGUAACACAUAGAUCUUGCAAAUAAAAUUUCAACAGUAUGAAAUCAUUG
rnacentral:lncRNA from 1 species